rnacentral:rRNA from 1 species
GCUACGGGUGGCAGCAGUGAGGAAUAUUGGUCAAUGGCCGGAAGGCUGAACCAGCCAUGCCGCGUGAAGGUCAGUGCCCUAUGGGCGUUAAACUUCUUUGUUCGGGAGCAAUAAUGGUCACGUGUGGCCAGACGAGAGUACCGUACGAAUAAGCAUCGGCUCACCUCGUGCCAGCAGCCGGGGUAAUACGGGGGAUACAAGGGUUAUCCGGAUUAAUUGGGGUUAAAGGGUGCGUUGUCUGUGAGGUAAGUUAGCGGUGAAAUUCCCCCGCUUAACGGGGUGAAGUGCCAUUGAUAUUGCCUUGCUGGAAUGCGGAUGCCGUGGGAGGAAUGUGUGGUGUAGCGGUGAAAUGCAUAGAUAUCACACAGAACACCGAUUGCGAAGGCAUCUCACGAAUCCGCGAUUGACGCUGAUGCACGAAAGCGUGGGUAUCAAACAGGAUUAGAUACCCCAGUAGUC